AGUCAUGAAGUUUUAGUAAACAUAUACUUUGAAAGUAUAUUAGGAAAGUUAAAUUCUUUCAAUGACUU
rnacentral:tRNA from 2 species